rnacentral:rRNA from 1 species
CAGGAUUAGAUACCCUGGUAGUCCACGCAGUAAACGAUGAUUACUAGGAGUUUGCGAUACAAUGUAAGCUCUACAGCGAAAGCGUUAAGUAAUCCACCUGGGGAGUACGCCGGCAACGGUGAAACUCAAAGGAAUUGACGGGGGCCCGCACAAGCGGAGGAACAUGUGGUUUAAUUCGAUGAUACGCGAGGAACCUUACCCGGGUUUGAACGUAGUCUGACCGGAGUGGAAACACUCCUUCUAGCAAUAGCAGAUUACGAGGUGCUGCAUGGUUGUCGUCAGCUCGUGCCGUGAGGUGUCGGCUUAAGUGCCAUAACGAGCGCAACCCUUAUCACUAGUUACUAACAGGUGAAGCUGAGGACUCUGGUGAGACUGCCAGCGUAAGCUGUGAGGAAGGUGGGGAUGACGUCAAAUCAGCACGGCCCUUACAUCCGGGGCGACACACGUGUUACAAUGGCAUGGACAAAGGGCAGCUACCUGGCGACAGGAUGCUAAUCUCCAAACCAUGUCUCAGUUCGGAUCGGAGUCUGCAACUCGACUCCGUGAAGCUGGAUUCGCUAGUAAUCGCGCAUCAGCCAUGGCGCGGUGAAUACGUUCCCGGGCCUUGUACACACCGCCCGUCAAGCCAUGGGAGCCGGGGGUACCUGAAGUCCGUAACCGCAAGGAUCGGCCUAGGGUAAAACUGGUGACUGGGGCUAAGUCGUAACAAGGUAGCCGUACCGGAAGGUGCGGCUG